rnacentral:rRNA from 1 species
GACGAACGCUGGCGGCGUGCUUAACACAUGCCAGUCGAACGGAAAGGCCUGCUUUCCCUUGUGGAUUGCGGGUACUCGAGUGGCGAACGGGUGAGUAACACGUGAGUGAUCUGCCCCCAACUUGGGUAUAAGCCUGGGAAACUGGGUCUAAUUCCCGAUAGGACUGCAGGGUGGUGCCUGUGGUGGAAAACGAUUUUCUAGUGGUUGGGAUGAGCUCGCGGCCUAUCAGCUUGUUGGUGGGGUAAUGGCCUACCAAGGCGGCGACGGGUAGCCGGCCUGAGAGGGUGGACGGCCACAUUGGGACUGAGAUACGGCCCAGACUCCUACGGGAGGCAGCAGUGGGGAAUAUUGCACAAUGGGCGGAAGCCUGAUGCAGCGACGCCGCGUGGGGGAUGACGGCCUUCGGGUGGUAAACUCCUUUCGACCGCGAGGAAGCCACCUGGUUGGAAGGGUGGUGACGGUAGUGGUAGAAGAAGCACCGGCUAACUACGUG